GUCGAGAAUCUUUCACAAUGGGGGCAACCCUGAUGGAGCGACGCCGCGUGGAGGAUAAGGUCUUCGGAUUGUAAACUCCUGUCAUGCGUGAACAAGGUUGCUUGGAUAAUACCUGAGCAAAUUGAUGGUGGCGCAAGAGGAAGAGACGGCUAACUCUGUGCCAGCAGCCGCGGUAAUACAGAGGUCUCAAGCGUUGUUCGGAAUCACUGGGCGUAAAGGGUGCGUAGGUGGCGUGGCAAGUCAGAUGUGAAAGCCCGGGGCUCAACCUCGGAACUGCAUCCGAUACUGCCAUGCUAGAGUACUGGAGGGGUGACUAGAAUUCUCGGUGUAGCAGUGAAAUGCGUAGAUAUCGAGAGGAAUACCAAAGGCGUAGGCAGGUCACUGGACAGUUACUGACACUGAGGCACGAAGGCCAGGGGAGCGAACGGGAUUAGAAACCCCUGUAGUCC
rnacentral:rRNA from 1 species